AUUGAACGCUGGCGGCAGGCUUAACACAUGCAAGUCGAGCGGAUGAAGGGAGCUUGCGCCUGGAUCCAGCGGCGGACGGGUGAGUAAUGCCUAGGAAUCUGCUUGGUAGGGGGGGAUAACGACCGGAAACGGGCGCUACUACUGCAUACGUCCUGCGGGAGAAAGAGGGGGAGUUUCGGACCUCAUGCUAUCAGAGGAGCCUAGGUCGGGUUAGUUAGUUGGUGGGGUAAAGGCCUACCAAGGCGACGAUCCGUAACUGGUCGGUGAGGAUGAUCAGCCACCCUGGAGCUGGGACACGGUCCAGACUCCUACGGGAGGCAGCAGUGGGGAAUGUUAGACAAUGGGCGAAAGCCUGAUCCAGCCAUGCCGCGUGUGAGAAGAAGGUCUUCGGAUUGUAAAGCACUUUAAGUUGGGAGGAAGGGCAGUAAGUUAAUACCUUGCUGUUUUGACGUUACCAACAGAAUAAGCACCGGCUAACUUCGUG
rnacentral:rRNA from 1 species